rnacentral:snoRNA from 1 species
GUCCAUGUAUCUUUGGGACCUGUCGGCUGUGGCAGAGUAUAUUCUUGUUUAUUGGCAAAGCUGUCACCAUUUAAUUGGUAUCAGAUUCUGACUGGCACAAGUAACAUUC